GCAGGAGAGUGGCGUGAACCCGGGAGGCGGAGUUUGCAGUGAGCCGAGAUUGCGCCACUGCACUCUAGCAUGGGCGACAGAGGAAGACUCCGUCUCAAAAAAAAAAAAAAAAAAAACUACAGGCGGCGACGGCUUCUCGUCUUUCAGGAGAUUGUCAUGGUCGAGAGACUGGACUGCGCCUACCCACUAUGAAUGAGCAGAACACCAUAGCUAAUAUUAACUUUCUGCAGGUAAUCUCUGAGCUUCGGGAGAAGUUGGAUCUGCAGCAUUGUGUUUUGCCAUCGCGGUUACAGGCUUUCCAAGUAAAGUUGAAAAGUAAAGGACGAGCAAGGUAAAGAGCUCAUGGAUAAUUGCCACCCUUUUCCUCACAUAGGAUGUCACAAUUUUCUGACAUCCCGCAGUCAGAGUUGGAGCUUAAUACUUACAACUACAAAUAAUGGUACUAUUAUGACAUUUACAUCUAGUAUUAUAUCGUUUUUCAAAUUACAUAUAUGUAUGUGAGUAUGUAUGUGUUUAUAUGUUUUCUUAGCCAUUCAGAUCAAUCCCAGACAGACUACAGUGCGAGUUUAUUAGCCAUCUUACUCAUGAGGUUGUCAUUUACUCCAGGGUACAUGGCUACUAAGCAGGAACUCAGAUCUUGUAAGUUCUUUUCUGGUAGGUAGAAGAGUAAUUUUUUUCCUCUCUGCUACUUGUAAUUCCUCAGGAAAUCAAGAAAGCAGUGGUCAGAACUGUAUUAUUCUCCUCUUUGAUGUAAUAAAGUCAGCUAUUAGAUAUGAGAAAACCAUUUCAGAAGCCUGGAUUAAGGUGAGAUCUUUAGAACUUUGAUUAUCAAGGAGGAAAUGAGUGGCAAUUAGUGACAGAUGUAUAACUGAGGUAGACUGAAAUAAAAAUCUCAAAAGUCAUUCAAGUGGAAAUGAUAGCUGAUGGUUGCCAUAUGGACACACUGGCUCUCAGAUGAGAUAACGGCAUGCUGAAUAAGGUGAAACGUGUUUCGCUGAUGUGUCAUAAUAUUUUUGUGACUCUCUCCUGUUUUUUCAGGCAAUUGAAAACACUGCCUCAGUAUCUGAACACAAGGUAAUGUUCAUGUACUAUGCAUUUUAAGUAUUGCAGACUUAAAAGUAAUGACAUUGGCUAGCUUGCCUUCCCACUUUCUUUCUUUCCCCUCCCUCCAGUCACUCUUUUCUCUCUUCCCUGGUUGCUCUAAUAAACAUUAGCUGUCUGGGGAAGAUAAUCUGAGGUGGCGACUGGUCAGAUAGCCUGCCCCACUCACUCUGGGUAUAAAAUAAGCCUACAGUAUCCACAAGGGGAAAUAUUAACAUUGUAAACAAGCACAUCAAGAUGCAGUCAAAGAAGCCAGGUCCCCACUGAUGAGAUGAAGAAAAUAACCACCUAAGUCUCAGGUCCCUAUAUCUGCCUAAUUGCCCUUCCUUCCACCCAGCACCACUGUCAAGAUAAUGGCAUUCCAUGUUUUACUUUACUUUGCCCAUGUAGACCUGACUGGAGUAAAUCAGUCUGUCCACUGUCAAGGCAGUGGUACUGGAUCUUAUGUCUCUAUUAAUUCUAGAAAUACCUUCCAUCAAAAAGCCAGAUGAUUGGCCGGGCGCGGUGGCUCACGCCUAUAAUCCCAGCACUUUGGAGGCUGAGGCAGGCGGAUCAUCUGAGGUCAGGAGUUUGAGACCAGCCUGGCCAAUGUAGCAAAACCCUGUCUCUACUAAAAAUACAAAAAAAAAUUAGCCUGGCCUGGUGGCACACGCCACUGCACUCCAGCCUGGGCGACAGUGCAAGACUCCGUCUCAAAAGAUAAAAAGCCAGAUGAUUGAGUUCCUUAGGUGCUGAUUGGUUGCCUUUAAAGAUUUUUCUUUGGUUGCAAUCUGUUUUGUGGGAUUUUUGUUAGUUUUGUUAUCCAAUUUUUGGAUGACCAUCUUAAAAGCUUUCAUGAUGCUGAAUAAAGCAAUGAAAAUUCAUAAUUUUUUGUGGUGAAAAAUAUCAAAGUACUCCAACACACUGUUUUUGGUUUUAGAUAAACACAAAUUUACCACCUUGACUGCCUGCAUACCUAUUUUUACAUAUUUGUAAUCAUUUUAUAAAUAUAAGUAUAAUUUGUAUUCUUUUUUCUCUUAAGAUUUUUUUCUCCGUGUGCUUCUGCUUUGUCUUCAUUGUUAUCUUUAAUGACUGUAUUCUGGUCUAAUGACUCUCAAUUUUGGUGUCUUCAGAAGUGGGGCAUUCAAUUGAGAGAAGUAGUAAAAUUUGUUUUUUUUGUCCUGCUUGCCUUUUUAACUUUUUUUUUUUUUCCUGGAAGCAUAGACUCAGAUUGCCCUGAAUACACUCCCAGUGUUUUCUUUUUUUUUUUUUUCUGAGACAGAGUCUUGCUCUGUCACCCAGGCUGGAGUGCAGGCAGUGGCGCAAUCUCAGCUCACUGCAAGCUCCGCCUCCUGAUUCUCCUACCUCAGCCUCCUGAGUAGCUGGAACUACAGGCGCCUGCCAUCACGCCCGGCUAAUUUUUUGUAUUUUUAGUAGAGAUGGGGUUUCACCGUGUUAGCCAGGAUGGUCUCGAUCUCCUGACCUCAUGAUCCACCCACCUCAGCCUCCCAAAGUGCUGGGAUUACAGGUGUGAGCCACCACGCUGGGCCUUUCUCUUUUGUUUUUUUUUGUUUUUUUUUUAAGAGACUAGGUCUUAAUCUGUCACCCAAGGUGGAGUGCGGUGACAGCAUCAUAGUUCAUUGCAGUCUCAAACACCUGGGUUCAAGCAAGCCUCCCACCUCAGUCUUUGGAGUAACUGGGACUACAGGCAAGCACCACCAGGCCUGGCUAAUUCUGUUAGUUAGUUAGUUAGUUAUUUUGAGAUAGAGUUUCACUCUUUUGCCCAGGCUAUAGUGCAGUGCCACAAUCUCGGUUCACUGCAACCUCUGCCCCCUGGGUUGUAGCAAAUCUGCCUCAGCCUCUCUAGUAGCUGGGAUUAUAGGUGCCUGCCACCAUGCCUGGCUAAUUUUUGUAUUUUUAUUAGAGAUGGGAUUUCACCAUGUUGGCCAGGCUGGUCUCAAACUCCUGACUCAGGUGAUCCACCCACCUGCCUCAGCCUCCCAAAGUGCUAGGAUUACAGAUGUUAGCCACCACGCCUGGCCAAUUCUUUUAUUUACUUAUUUUUUUUUCUUUUGAGACUGAGUCUCACUGUCGCCCAGCCUGUAGUGCAGUGGCACGAUCCCGGCUCACUGCAGGCUCCCCCCCGCCGGGGUUCACGCCAUUCUCCUACCUCAGCCUCCCAAGUAGCUGGGACUACAGGCGCCCGCCACCUCGCCCGGCUAAUUUUUUGUAUUUUUAGUAGAGACGGGGUUUCACCGUGUUAGCCAGGAUGGUCUCUAUCUCCUGACCUCGUGAUCCGCCCGCCUCGGCCUCCCAAAUUGCUGGGAUUACAGGCAUGAGCCAUCACGCCCGGCCAUUCUUUUAUUUUUUAUAGAGAUGAGGUCUUGCUGUGUUUCCCAGGCUGGUCUCAAAUUUUUAGCUUCAAGUGAUCCUCCUGCUUGGGCCUCCCAAAGUGCUGGGAUUAUAGGUGUGAGCCACUGCACCCAGCCCUCAUAUUUUUCUUUUUUAAACUUAGGUUAAACAAGCUAAUUGUGGAGAAAAACCCACAAGGAAUCUAUAGAUGUAAAAAAUAACAGUUUUUCUCCGCUCUCUUUCCCAUUUCUCAGGGUUAAUCAUCCUUCCAAUUUUUUUCUCUUCAUAUACAAGCUGUAAUUGUGUGCAAGUACGGGUAUACUCUUAUGCAUACACAUAUAUGUUUAUAUAUUGUUUUUACAAAAGCAGAAUCUUAACUAUGAUUAUGGGUGGUGAUGGUGGUGUUUAAAGAGACAGGGUCUCACUGUGUUACCAGGCUGGAGUGCAGUGGCACAAUCAUAGCUCACUGUUGCCUCCACCUCCUGAGCUCAAUGAUCCUCCCUCCUCAGCCUCCCAAAGCAGUGGGAUUACAGGCAUGAGCCUUCUUGCCCAGCCUGAUUAUCCUUUUGCAGGCUGCUGUUUUUUCCACUUCAUGUCAGGAAUGUGUUUCCUCUGUCAAAAAAUACAGUAUGGCUUAGCAGUCCCUAACCUUUUUGGCACCAGGCACUAGUUUCAUGCAAGACAGUUUUUCCACAGACUGUCUCGGGGCAUGAUUUCAGGAUGAAACUGUUCCACCUUAGAUCAUCAGGCACUACUUAGAUUCUCAUAAGGAAUGUGCAGCCUAGAUCCUGUGCAUAUGCAGUUCACAAUAGGGUUCACACUCCCAUGAGAAUCUAAUGAUGAUUCUAAUCUGACAGAAGGCGGAUCUCAGGUGGUAAUGACCACUUGACCACCCCUCACCUCCAUGGUCCAGGGGUUGCGGACCCCUGGUCUAGCUUAUUCUUUCUUUUUUUUUUUUUUUUUUUAAUAUUUUAAUUAAAAAAAUUUUUUUAGACAGUCUCGCUGUGUCACCCAGGCUGGAGUGCAGUGGCAGGAUCUCGGCUUAUUGCAACCUCCACCUCCCGGGUUCAAGUGAUUCACCUGCCUCAGCCUCCUGAGUAGCUGGGAUUACAGGCAGUUGCCACCAUGACUGGCCAAUUUUUUUUUGUAUUUUUAGUAGAAAUGGGGUUUCACCAUGUUGGCCAGGCUGGUCUCGAACUCCUAACCUCAGGUGAUAUGCGCACCUCGGCCUCCCAAAGUACUGGGACUACAGGCGUGAGGCCCCACACCCAGCCUGGCUUAUCCUUUUUGAUGACUGUAAUAUUUCAAAAAUUAAAAUUACUCCAUCAUAAUUUAUUGAACCCUUUCCAGAUUGAUGGACAUUUAUAGUCUUUCCAACUUUUCACAAAGUAAUUUUCCUAGUAAUAGUGAAAAUACAUACUGGAGUUGGCAAGUGAUUGAAUCUUUUGAUAAAUGUGAAGAUGUUCAAAGUUACUUCUGUAGCAGUAUCACUUUAAUGUAUAUUGGAAUGUAUUCCUAAGAGAUACUAGUGGUUAAUAGUUGUGGCACUUUAUUUCUCUAAAAAAUAUGUCUGGGUUUUGUGAAAAGUGUACAUACUACCAGUGGAGUGUGUGGAACAAAUGAGCAUCAUCCAUUCUGUGUUUUAAUAAGGAAAAGCUGCUGUUUCAUUGUAGCAAAUGUACUGAUUUGUUAACUAUUUUUCUAUUAUUGCAUAUUUAUUGACCUGGUGAUGCUUUUCAUCAUCUAUAGCACCAAUACUCAGACAAAGAAGUACAUUGAAAGGGUGCUAAGAAAUAAGAUUCGAUCAGACUGUAUUCAAGAACAGCUGCUCCAGAGUACAUUCUCUGUUCAUUACUUAGUUCUUAAGGAUAUGUGUUCAUCCAUUCUGUUGCUGGCUCAGAGUUUGCUUCACUCUCUAGACUAGAUAUAAUUUCAUUUGGCAGUCUCCUAUACAAAUAAUGUAUUUACGUUUUUUGACACAUACUGCCAGCAGAGGUGAGGUCUCACUCUGUCACACACGUUGGAGUGUGGUGGUAUGAUCCUGGCUCACUGCAACCUCCAAUUCCCAGUGUCAAGCCAUCCUCUCAUGUCAGCCUCCUGAGUAGCUGGGACCACAGGUGCGCACCACUGUGCCCCGCUAAUUUUUUGCAAUUUUGGUAGACAUAAGGUUUCGUCAUGUACCCAGACUGGUCUCGAACUUUUGAGCUUAGGAGAUCCAACCACCUCUGCCUCUGAAAGUGCUAGUGUUACACGCAUGAGCCACUGUGCUCAGCCAUUUGCCCAUUUUUAAAUUGGGUUUUUGUCAUUGUUGAGGUAUAGGAGUUAUUUAUAUAUUCUGGAUAUUAAUCCCUUAUCAGAUAUAUGAUUUGCAAAUAUUUUCUCCCAUUCUAUGGGUUUUCACUCCCUUGAUAGUGUCCUUUGAUGUACAAAAGUAGUUUCGAUAAAGUCAAAUUUCCUUUUUUUUUUUUUUUGGAGAUGGAGUCUAGCUCUGUCACCAGGCUGGAGUGCAGUGGUACGAUCUCGACUCACUGCAAUCUCCACCUUGCAGGUUCAGAUGAUUCUCCUGCCUCAGCCUCCCGUGUAGCUGGGACUAUGGGCGUGUGCCACAACGCCUAGCUAAUUUUUGUAUUUUUAGUAGAGAUGGGGUUUCACCAUGUGGGCCAGGAUGGUCUUGAUCUCUUGACCUCAUGAUCCGCCUACCUCAGCCUCCCAAAGUGCUGUGAUUACAGGCAUGAGCCACCGCAUCUGGCCUUAUUUUUUAUGUUAUUUUAUUAUUUUUUUGAUCUGUGAUUUUCUUAAUUAUCUUAAGUCAUAUGAUCACACAUAGUUUUAAAAUGUGUGUAUAUCUCCUCUAAUCAUUGUAAGUUGGCAAAAGCACCAUUCCCAAUCACAAAUACGCAACAGUUUUACAGUUUUAUGUUUUCGAAUGGCUUUUUUUUUUUUUUUUUUUGAGAUGGAGUCUCACUGUCGCUCAGGUUGGAGUGCAGUGGCGCAAUCUUGGCUCACUGCAGGCUCCGCCUCCCGGGUUCACACCAUUCUCCUGCCUCAGCCUCCCAAGUAGCUGGGCUGUGCACAUCCUAGUUUAGGUAGCAUGCCAUCAUGUGAUCCUCCCAGUUUCUCAGGAAAACUGAAAGGAAAAGAGACCUCAGAUAAGUAUCAGGGUGACCCUGCAGCAAAUCACUACCAGGGGCUCUGAAGGGCUGAGACUCUGAGCGGGUGCAGGGCAGAGUCCCACACAUUGCGCAUGGCCUCCCCACACUCACACUGCCUGGUAAGCAUUUUCAGAAGGACCAGUGGCCCCUUCAGGUCCCGUCUGCCUGUGUUAAUCAUGCUAAGAGGUGCCCAUAGGGAAGAGGCUCCAGGAACCAGGACAAAACCCACAGAGAAAGCCCCUUCCAGGGUCCACCCAGGCCGGGCCUCAGGAGCCAUGGGGCCCUAGGUACAGGCUGGGCAACCUUGGGCCAUUCAUCUCCCUCUAUGGCCAGUGGCCUCCUUUUGGGGGGACAUUUUCAGGAGGGACUGACAGCCAUGGAGAUGGGGAGCAGGCCUGAGCAGGGCAGGCUUCCUAGAGGUAGCCCAGAGAGCUGGGUCUGGUAGUGGGGGGGGCUCCAGCUCCACUGUAAAGGUGAAACUGAGGCUGAAGAGAGAUCAGGUAGCACCCCCAGUGAUACCCGGCCAGGAACAGAUGGCAAAGAUUUGCUGUUUUCCCCAUCCCAGACUGCCCCGCGCCCACCCACUUCCAAGUACUCUGCUUUGUCCCCCUUCCCAGGUUCUGAAGUCGUCCUGUUUUACACCUGUCACUCCCACUGGAGCAGGGACCUUGCCUCCCUCACAGCCACAGAGGCCUUGCACCCAGUAGGCCACAAAUCAGUAUUUGUGGAAUCAGUGAGAUGGGAUUCAAGCCCUAGGUGUGUCUGCAGAGCAUUGGAAGUACAGUACUGGGUCCCCGAAGCCACAGGCAGAGGGUUCCUGGGGACCCGCAGGGGCAGUGGACGCCUACUAUGAUUUUCCAGAAGGCUGGUGUGACUGUCACUAAGUUUAUUUGCUGGUCCAAUUUUUUGGAAUCCUGAAAUUUCUACUGGGAGAAGCCAGAGUUUCCCACUUCAGCAGGUGUGACCACCUGGCCCAGGGCAUCAUCUCUUCCUCCUAUCUGGCCCCUCUCCUACCAUCUUCCCAUGCCUCCCUGCCCAGGGGUGGGCAGUAGGGCAGGAUGGGGUGGGAAUCUGUUGUAACCAGGGAAGGGAAUUGCCCCCAGGCCAGGAGAGUUUGUAGCUGGGGCUACUGUCACCAACAGCCCAGGACCUGGCAGCUGGGCCCUGCCCUACAGUCCUCCUGCAUCUGGGCUCUCCCGAGGGGCUGUGAAUGUUUUCCCAGGGUGGGGCUAAGCUAGAGCCCAGAGGUUUGCCCCUGGGGCACGGAUUCCCCAGGUCACUCGCCUCCUAUAGGCUUUAGUGAAGGAGGUACUGAGGGGAGGAUGACUCUUCCCCUGCAAGGAAACGAGCCCCAGGGAAGGCAUUCCUGCUCUGGGAACUGCCUCCCUCCCCCGCAUGAGAGCCAGCCACUGCAGAAGCUUGGCCAAGCUGACCUUGAUCUCUGCCAGGGAGGCUGAAAGAACAUCCAGCCCCACCUGUGGUCCCCUCCCACCUCAGGCUAGGCUACAUCCAGGCCUGCCAGGGAGACUGGUCUCACCAGCCCCCCUGCACAGAUGUCUAGAUGUCCAGAGUCCCAACAGAACACACACACGGAUAAAAACGAUACUGAAGCAGGCCAAGCUGAACGCUGGUGCCUCCCCAGGACAUGACCCAGCCAUGGGGAGCAGGAUUAGAUUCAUUUGCUGAGUCUGCAAUGAAACCAAGAAGCCUCAUUUGGCUUUGUGGUCUCAGCACUUAGCACCAAGGAAGUGCAUUUGUGGAAACUCCUGCCUGGCCUCUAAUUCUGGCAUAGGUCUGUGCUUGUCAUUCAAUCCUACUGGCUGGCUAGACCACCUUGCCUUGGCCCCUCCUGUUAGGAAUCAGGUUGACUGUCUCAUCAGAAUAUUGUUGAAUCGAGGAGAGUCUCAUACCCCAGGUAGCAGGCAGUGAUCUCUGCAUGGUACAGUCCUUGUCAGGACCUUUGUCCUCCUUGGCCAGGCUCCAGCUCUGAGCUGGCAUUUUCCCUAUCUCAGGUGCCGGUGUGUAAACACUGUGGUUUCCUUCUCUGGGUCCUCUUCUCAAGGUUUUCCUCUGCAUCUUGCUGGUUGGGAAUUGCAGCAACACUUAAAAUAUUUCUGAGUGUGAAGCUUCUUUCAGCAAACACCAUUCAUUUAUUCAAUAAAUAUUUAUUGAGCUUCUA